CCUACUGAGCAGAAAAAUCAAAGUGUUAGUCACCCUCUACUCACUUAUCUUCUAUUGGAGAUGCUAAUGAUAGUGCAACAGCUGGAGAUAAUCAAGAUCAGAAUUGAUUUAUUCAGAAGACUAAAAAGGCAUUAUAAACACCAGAAAUGACUAAAUCUCACCUCUUCUGUCGUGAAGCAAGAAGAUUUCAUAGGGAUCGGUCAGUUUUAAGAUGCACUCAGAUUCCACAGCUAGAGAGAUCAAAGUUUCAAAACACUGUAUGAAAUUAAAGCCGGCAACAAAAAUCGAGCAAGGAAUAAAACGAUACUGGGAAACAUCAACCAUA